rnacentral:rRNA from 1 species
GACGAACGCUGGCGGCGUGCUCAACACAUGCAAGUCGAACGGAAAGGCCUGCUUUCCCUUGUGGAUUGCGGGUACUCGAGUGGCGAACGGGUGAGUAACACGUGAGUGAUCUGCCCCCAACUUGGGUAUAAGCCUGGGAAACUGGGUCUAAUUCCCGAUAGGACUGCAGGGUGGUGCCUGUGGUGGAAAACGAUUUUCUAGUGGUUGGGGAUGAGCUCGCGGCCUAUCAGCUUGUUGGUGGGGUAAUGGCCUACCAAGGCGGCGACGGGUAGCCGGCCUGAGAGGGUGGACGGCCACAUUGGGACUGAGAUACGGCCCAGACUCCUACGGGAGGCAGCAGUGGGGAAUAGUGCACAAUGGGCGGAAGCCUGAUGCAGCGACGCCGCGUGGGGGAUGACGGCCUUCGGGUUGUAAACUCCUUUCGACCGCGAGGAAGCCACCUGGUUGGAAGGGUGGUGACGGUAGUGGUAGAAGAAGCACCGGCUAACUACGUG